rnacentral:rRNA from 1 species
UAAUACGGAGGGGGCGAGCGUUGUUCGGAUUUAUUGGGCGUAAAGGGCGCGUUGGUGGUUACGUAAGUUAGACGUGAAAACUCUAGGCUUAACCAAGAGACUGCGUCUAAUACUGUGUGACUUGAGUGCAGGAGAGGAGAGUGGAAUUCCCAGUGUAGCGGUGAAAUGCGUAGAUAUUGGGAGGAACACCAGUGGCGAAGGCGGCUCUCUGGACUGACACUGACACUGAGGCGCGAAAGCUAGGGGAGCAAACAGGAUUAGAUACCCUGGUAGUCCUAGCCGUAAACGAUGGGCACUAGGUGUAGAAGGUAUCGACCCCUUCUGUGCCGAAGCUAACGCAUUAAGUGCCCCGCCUGGGGAGUACGGUCGCAAGGCUG